CCCUUAGAUGUCCUGGGCUGCACGCGCGCUACGCUGAUGUGUCCAGUAAGCACCUAACCUCUUCCGAAAGGAACGGGUAACCUUUGCAAAGCACAUCGUGAUGGGGAUAGAUUAUUGCAAUUAUUAGUCUUGAACGAGGAAUUCCUAGUAAGCACAAGUCAUCAGCUUGUGUUGAUUACGUCCCUGCCCUUUGUACACACUGCCCGUCGCUCCUACCGAUUGAAUGUUCCGGUGAGCUCUUCGGACUGCGCGGUCUGCAGUUUCUGCGUUCCGUGCGGAAAGUUGCGCAAACCUUAACAUUUAGAGGAAGGAGAAGUCGUAACA
rnacentral:rRNA from 1 species